UAAUUAGUCGUGCUCGCGGGAGGAUUAGUGACAUCUCAGUAACCCAUUACAAAUGUUUCCGGUGGAUUAUCGAGAGUCGAAUGCAACAAUCUCCUACUAGCAUCCUAAAUACACGCAGAAAAUCUGAGAGAGUGUAGAGUUAGGUUCAAUGUGAAGGAAAAUGGCUCAACAGCGCGCAGGAUAUUCGUUGACUUCACCAAAUGUUUGGGUGCCUGAUGAGUGGAUUGCUUCACUCCCUAGACAUGUUCUUCUCAUAGUCAUUGCAAUGGCCAUCCAUGAUAGAGCUACACCAAACAUAAAUGUUUAUGUUAAUCUCGUUAAGGUUUCCACGAUCUUGAGGACGUUCCCAGAAGGUCCCUCAUUUAUAUUUGGCAGAGCACCACUUCCACCUCAUGUAGCUCACCAUUGCUGCAAUUGUCCCCAUAGUUGCAAUCGUGUCAACAAUUAUUCAUAAAGAAGUGAUUCAGCUCAGACUAAUGCGUUAUGAUCUGUUGAGGGGUUCAUCAUUAAUUAUUCCAUAUAUUGUUCAUGCGUCAAAAUUGAUGCUAUAUGAAAAAUCAGUCGUUAACUAUUUUAAGUUAUCUCAAUCAUUAAUAUUUUCAUGGCUUAUUUCUUAAUGAAAAAAAUCAUUGGAUCAUACGGUUGAUGGAUAAUAUCCCAAUAUUUCAAUAUUCUAAUAUUGUUUUUAAACUUGUAUAACACAAAAAAUCAUGAAAAUAUUAAAUGAUUUAUUCGUAUGAUCAAGAUGCUGGGGGGUUUUUAUAGCCUCAUGA